UACGAAGGGGGCUAGCGUUGCUCGGAAUCGCUGGGCGUAAAGGGUGCGUAGGCGGGUCUUUUAAGUCAGGGGUGAAAUCCUGGAGCUCAACUCCAGAACUGCCUUUGAUACUGAGGAUCUUGAGUUCGGGAGAGGUGAGUGGAACUGCGAGUGUAGAGGUGAAAUUCGUAGAUAUUCGCAAGAACACCAGUGGCGAAGGCGGCUCACUGGCCCGAUACUGACGCUGAGGCACGAAAGCGUGGGGGAGCAAACAGG
rnacentral:rRNA from 1 species